rnacentral:rRNA from 1 species
UACGUAGGGUGCAGGCGUUAAUCGGAAUUACUGGGCGUAAAGCGCACGUAGGCGGACUACUAAGUCAGGGGUGAAAUCCCGGGGCUCAACCCCGGAACUGCCUUUGAUACUGGUAGUCUCGAGUCCGGAAGAGGUGAGUGGAAUUCCGAGUGUAGAGGUGAAAUUCGUAGAUAUUCGGAGGAACACCAGUGGCGAAGGCGGCUCACUGGUCCGGUACUGACGCUGAGGUGCGAAAGCGUGGGGAGCAAACAGG